CCCUCACUGUUAUUAAAGGGACUACGUUGAGUCCCGCUUUUAAUUUUGAUUGUUCGUUUGCAUAAACACACUAAGAUCAGCCUGGAUCACUUACGAUCCUUAUGUCUGCUUUGCUGGA